CAGGACCAGGACCAGGAUGACCGGAAACGUCAAGGCCUAAGGAGAACUCUGGGGUCCGCACGGAGCUUCCUGUUGGGGGCCAUCUCCUUCGUGCUGAUUAUCAGGCAUUCCUUCUCACUGUCUUUCCUGGAAAGCCCCGCUGCAUCGUAACAGGCGUGGCAGCUAUCCUUCCGCGUGACACCCGACGCAUCAGGACCCGGUUGCCCGCAGCAGUCCAGGUGAGCCGUGAAGGGAGGUGAUUCUGCAGAGGAGUUAAACCUGAGAUGUGAGAGGCCGAUGAAAACAACAGGACCCACUUCAGAGAUCUGGGUGCGGGUGGAAACAAUGCGUGCAGCGUCGCGGAGUGUGGUCUUGAACCCAAAGUUAGCCGUAGUUAAUAACCAAACAAACAAGCAUGUCCCCUAUAACCCGUAUCUUGACUGAGACCAAGAUCAUUCAUGCUCUCUUUUUUUAACAGGAUUCUCCUCAUACCCCCCUUCCUCAUCAGAGAGAGGUUAGCUCUCCGUGGGCCUCUUCCCCAACAAGACUAUUGAUUAGCUUUGGGGGCUGGCUCCGACAUCGGUGCCUUUGUUAGCUUCUAGUGGCUUAAUUCCUUUAUUUUACCCAGGGAGACGACAGAGGGCGACACAUAAAAGCAUUUCUUUUGCAGGAUCAGGCUGACGGGAACAAAAUUCUCUCCACUCCAAUGUGUAUUUUAAACUACUUGUGUGUACCACUGUGUCCUUUGGCCUUUCAAGUUGGGGGAAAGAAAAACAGUCAAAAACUGUAUUCUGCAGUAGAAAGUCAAGCUGACAUUUGCAUGGCCUCCUGUCCCCCCCACCGAAGUCAAAUAAUCUCUAACUGAUUUCUACUCAACACGCGAGGCCUUCACAUGGCACCCAACUGCCUUCAGUUCUCUUCCCUGAACUGUCUGGCUUGUUCUCCAUCUUCACUUGGCUCACUCCUCCCUGUCCCUCAGGAGGCCUUUCCUAAUGUCUGUUCUCUAAAAACAUACUCCAUUAAAGUUAGAUGCCCUUCAAGCAACCUGUACUCUCUUCUCCAGGAACCCUCCCACUGCAGUGGUCUGCGUACGGGUCUCUUCCUUUAGGUUGCGAACCCCUUACGAGGAGGGAUUUGAUUUCAUUUGUCUUUACGUUGUCAGUGCUUAACAUACUCGUGUAAAUGCCCGAAUGAGG